UGGGGAAUAUUGCACAAUGGGCGCAAGCCUGAUGCAGCCAUGCCGCGUGUGUGAAGAAGGCCUUCGGGUUGUAAAGCACUUUCAGCGGGGAGGAAGGCGUUAAGGUUAAUAACCUUGGCGAUUGACGUUACCCGCAGAAGAAGCACCGGCUAACUCCGUGCCAGCAGCCGCGGUAAUACGGAGGGUGCAAGCGUUAAUCGGAAUUACUGGGCGUAAAGCGCACGCAGGCGGUUUGUUAAGUCAGAUGUGAAAUCCCCGGGCUCAACCUGGGAACUGCAUCUGGUACUGGCAAGCUUGAGUCGCGUAGAGGGGGGUAGAAUUCCAGGUGUAGCGGUGAAAAGCGUAGAGAUCUGGAGGAAUACCGGUGGCGAAGGCGGCCCCCUGGACGAAGACUGACGCUCAGGUGCGAAAGCGUGGGGAGCAAACAGG
rnacentral:rRNA from 1 species